GACGAACGCUGGCGGCGUGCUUAACACAUGCAAGUCGAGCGGUAAGGCCCUUUCGGGGGUACACGAGCGGCGAACGGGUGAGUAACACGUGGGUGACCUGCCCUCAGCUCUGGGAUAAGCCUGGGAAACUGGGUCUAAUACUGGAUAUGACUCCACGGUGCAUGUCGUGGGGUGGAAAGCCUUGUGCGGCUGAGGAUGGGCCCGCGGCCUAUCAGCUUGUUGGUGGGGUGANGGCCUACCAAGGCGACGACGGGUAGCCGGCCUGAGAGGGCGACCGGCCACACUGGGACUGAGACACGGCCCAGACUCCUACGGGAGGCAGCAGUGGGGAAUCUUGCGCAAUGGGCGAAAGCCUGACGCAGCGACGCCGCGUGAGGGAUGACGGCCUGGUGUAACUAC
rnacentral:rRNA from 1 species